rnacentral:rRNA from 1 species
CCUACGGGAGGCAGCAGUGGGGAAUAUUGCACAAUGGGCGCAAGCCUGAUGCAGCGACGCCGCGUGCGGGAUGACGGCCUUCGGGUUGUAAACCGCUUUUGAUCGGGAGCAAGCCUUCGGGUGAGUGUACCUUUCGAAUAAGCACCGGCUAACUACGUGCCAGCAGCCGCGGUAAUACGUAGGGUGCAAGCGUUAUCCGGAAUUAUUGGGCGUAAAGGGCUCGUAGGCGGUUCGUCGCGUCCGGUGUGAAAGUCCAUCGCUUAACGGUGGAUCCGCGCCGGGUACGGGCGGGCUUGAGUGCGGUAGGGGAGACUGGAAUUCCCGGUGUAACGGUGGAAUGUGUAGAUAUCGGGAAGAACACCAAUGGCGAAGGCAGGUCUCUGGGCCGUUACUGACGCUGAGGAGCGAAAGCGUGGGGAGCGAACAGGAUUAGAUACCCGGGUAGUCGAU